UACGUAGGGUGCAAGCGUUAAUCGGAAUUACUGGGCGUAAAGCGUGCGCAGGCGGUUGUGCAAGAGAGAUGUGAAAUCCCCGGGCUUAACCUGGGAAUUGCAUUUGUGACUGUACGGCUAGAGUGUGUCAGAGGGGGGUAGAAUUCCACGUGUAGCAGUGAAAUGCGUAGAGAUGUGGAGGAAUACCGAUGGCGAAGGCAGCCCCCUGGGAUAACACUGACGCUCAUGCACGAAAGCGUGGGGAGCAAACAGG
rnacentral:rRNA from 1 species